UGGAUCAUGCUUCUAUUUAUAAGCUCAUUGAAGUAACUCUCUCCGAGCUCAAAUAGGCCAAUUUUUUGUUUGUGUGAUACACAAAACCUUCAGCUACCCACUUCCAUAUCAAAUCAUCUCUCUUGGUUUUCUUGUCUUUUGGAAAUAUACUUUGAUAUGAUAAAAGAUGAGAAGGUAGAUCCUAGCUAGAACAACAUCAUAUUAAGUCUUUAGUCUCAAGUAAGUCCGGGUAGGCUAGAGAUGAAAUCCAAUAGGAGCUUAACGUUGUUUCAGGUAGUGUACAACUUGUUAGUAAAAGAUGCUUACUUGUAGAUUAUGCCAAACCAUGAUCUAUAAGUCAAGUCUCUUUUACUAAUAGUUUUGAUCCACCUUCUCAUCUUUAGUGUUAGUUAUCAUAUUUAACUAUGUAUUCAGAAGAUUAGAAGAUUAUGAGAGAUAACUUGAUAUGUAAGUGGGUAGUUGAAUGUUUUGUUUAUCAUGAAAACAAGAAAUUAGCCUACGUGAGCCCGGAGAGAGUAACUCAAUGAGCACAUAAAUAGAAGCAUGAUUCAACCAAUAGACACCGAUGACGACUGUGAAGGCAAGGAAAUGUAUUAUU